rnacentral:rRNA from 1 species
UACGUAGGGGGCUAGCGUUGUCCGGAAUCAUUGGGCGUAAAGCGCGUGUAGGCGGCCCGGUAAGUCCGCUGUGAAAGUCGGGGGCUCAACCCUCGGAUGCCGGUGGAUACUGUCGGGCUUGAGUGCGGAAGAGGCGAGUGGAAUUCCUGGUGUAGCGGUGAAAUGCGCAGAUAUCAGGAGGAACACCAAUUGCGAAGGCAGCUCGCUGGGACGUUACUGACGCUGAGGCGCGACAGCGUGGGGAGCAAACAGG